GUGUGAAUGGCAAAUUGUAUGGAUUGGGUAAACUGCUGAUUUAGUUGAAAAUUCUGUGUGGCAUGUGUGACAGAUUGUAAUUUGAGAGCAAAGCAAUUAUUUGAGCUGCAUCAAGGGCACGAGACAAAGUGACACGAAUGGACCCAGAGAGCUUUGUAAUAUGGACCGAGAGAGUUGGUUACAGGAGCUAGCAUAGACCACUGUCCAGAAUACAACAUUGACCAAGUGAAGCAAGACUGGACCGUACAGCAAGAUUUGGGCCGUAGCAUAGGAAUUAAUGUCUUUGUAAUUUAUUUAUUUUUUUGUGUAUUUGAUGGGCCUGUGUCAGCCCAAUGUCACUGUUAGCUAUAGCUCUUGUUUGUAAAAGGCCUUUAUAAAGUCCAAGUUUGGAAGAGUCCUUGGUACUCUUUCAAAUCUUGGAAACUUUUUCUUGUUUGUUUUCUUUAAAUUUUAGCUAGACAUAGGAGUAGAAUUUGAUUGUCUUUGCAUGUGUUUGAUUUUCACGUGUAGGUGUGACCUUUGUCACAUUAAAGUCCGAACGUAUUAGGGGUCUUAGAGUCCGUUUUCAUUGUUUGUUUCUUUUGAGUCUUGUACUUUGAUUUUAAAAGUAAUUUUACUUUAAAGGAUGUCUAGGAUUAGUGAUUCUGAGAAGCAAUAUAUUCUUAGGAAACUAAUGCAACAAAUUGGGAAUAUUAAAGAGAGCUUGAAUCAAGAUAGGCUUAAUAGGGAGGUGCANACCUCAUUCAUUCAAAGUGAAAUUAGAGCCAUAAAAGAAGAACAAAAGAAACAAAGAAAAGAAUUGCUGAGACAAAUAAUUCACAAUGGUAAAUCAUUCAUUCGAAAUAUAAGUAAAUUUUGGCAUCAAGAAAGAGAAUUUAGAGAUCAACUUAUGACUUUCUUGAAUGAGGGAAGUAAAAGAAGCAUUGAGAGAGAACGUAGAGUACUACAAGAGAAAAUAGAAAGACAAGAGAGAAGAAAAGAGAGAAAAAGAGAGGAAGAAAGAAGAAGAGAAAGAGAGAGAAGAAGAGAACAAGUGAGAAUAGAAGAGGAAGAAAGAGAGAGAAGAGAACGAGUGAAGAGAGAUAAGGAAGAAAAAAUAGAGCAACAUAGGACAGAAGAGGAAGAAAAAAAGAGAAUAAGAAGAGAGAAAGAAAAGAGAGAAGAGGAAGAAAAGCGAGAGAAGGAAGAGAGACUACAAAAGAAAGAGAAGGAAGAACUUGAAAGGAAGGAAAGGGAAGAAAAGGAAUUUCUGACAAUAUCUCCUAAUCUAGAACCCAAAAUGGGAGGUUUUCUAUCCUUUAACUUUCCUUCAAUUGAAAUUACAUGUUCCAAAUUCAUCUUUUCUUUCCAAAACAUUGUCAUCACAUCUUUUCAAAAAUUGUAAUUUUUAGCAUAUGGCAAUCAAAAUCUUGAGUUAAAGUUACCUUUUUGGUUAUCACUACCUCAAGACAAAAAGUUUUCAAAUGAAGAAUGGUUUCUUUGUAAUCAACAUAUUGAAAAUUUUAAAAUUAAGAAACCUUCUUCUACAAAUAUUCUUUUAUAUACUUUGGGUCAUAAAAAACUAAUUAGUGUUAUGUUUGAUGCUUAUUGCAGAUUUACUUUUGAUCCAGGAGGAGUUUAUAGAGAGUCAACUAAAAAUAAGUCCUCAGGAGAACCAUCAAGAUUUGAGGACAAAUCCUUUCCAAGGGGGAGCGGAUGAUGACUUGGGCCCAAGCCCAAUUUCCUUAGUCUAGUAUUUCUUUUACUUGUAAUAGACAUGUGUACAAUGUGUUAGGCAUGUGGUACAUUUAGACCUAUAUAUAGGCAUGCUAACACAUCUUGUAAUCACUUUUUGAGAUAAUUGAAUUGUUUAUUGUUGAGAAUUACUCCAGAGCAAUUCUACCUUGAAAGUCAAGGCUAGAGAAUCCCAAAGGAUCUCCUCUAGCCACCUUCCAUCUCAUACUUACCAUUCUCUCAUUUUCCACCAUCAUUUUCUCACUCUGCCACCGUGACAUCCAUUCUCCAAUCCUUUUCAGCUGUGUGGCGCUACUCCGUACUGCCACACCAGGGUUUUCCAUAGCGUCAUACUUCAUCUCCGCAAUUCAUUUCGCAUUCAGCAUUUUUCUCUCUCAAAGCUUCAGAACGUAGGGUUCCUCUUCGAGAGUUCUGCAGCCACAGAUCCAUCGUCGUCCACCAACUAUUUCUUAUUUCCUCUCUAGGUAAUCACCGAUUACACCAUAUCCUCUCGAACCACCGGUCACUUCUCCGGUCUACCUAAUCUUCACCGAUCAAACCGAAAAUCCUUACAUUUACUCCGAUUAAACCACAGCCUUGCUCUGUUCCACCGAUUCAAUCGGUGAGAUCUUACUCUUCCACCGUUUAAAUCCUUUUUACAUUGAACCCUAACCUUUCACCGAUUGAACCACAAACCUAGGGUUCGUAGUCUUCUUCUUGAGUCUUCCGCUGCGUCUUCUACGUCCAAGUCAUAAUUUCCUCUGUUUCUCGAGUUCGUCAGUUGGUCCGUCUCAGAUCCAUGGAUCCUCGCCGGAGUGAUCUGUAUCACAUAUUAAAUGUCACUCGUAGCCUUAUUUUUCAAUCCAAUGUUCCGAUAUAUACUGGUCCUAUGCUCUAUCCCAUGUUGUGUUCUUGAUUAAUAGAUUACCUUCCCCCAUUAUUGAAGAUAAAACACCUUUUGAACUCUUACAUAAUAAUCCACCCACUUAUCUUGAUUUAAAGGUUUUUGGUUGCCUAUGUUUUGCUUCUACCUUGGAAAGUAACAAAAACAAACUUGAUCCUAGAGCAAGAAAGGGCAUAUUCCUAGGAUACAAAAGUGGGGUAAAAGGAUAUAUAGUUCUGGACAUUAAUAGCAAAGAAAUAAUUAUAAGUAGAAAUGUUGUUUUCUAUGAGAAUAUAUUUCCCUAUAAAGAUAAGCAGGAAGGAAGAAACAAUUAUAACUGCGAAAAGGACAAUGUGUUUUUCCUAGAUGAGAUUAAUUGCAGGCAUGAAAAGGAUCUUGUUGAUGAUGAAGGAGGAGACUCGAGUCCUGCUCAAGAUAAUGGUACUGAAAGGAGCUCUGUUGAAGACAAUGUUAUCAACGAAGACAAUAAUUUCAUAGAACAACAGCAAGGAAACAAUCAAAGGAGAUCUAAAAGAAUUAGAAAGGCUCCUGAAUACUUGAAAAACUAUGUUCAGCAAGGUGAUGAAUCCCCAUCUAGCCAUUUGUGUGCCAAGAACGGUUUGAAUACUCCCUACCCUAUAACUAGUGUUUUGUCUUACAAAUCUCUUUCUAAUAAACACUUAAAGUAUACACUUGCUAUAACUGCUGACAAAGAACCCAGCUCCUAUGAAGAGGCCAAAAGCAGCCCUGGGUGGAAUCAGGCCAUGCAAAAGGAAAUUCGGGCUCUACAAACAAAUAGGACAUGGUUCUUGACUCAACUUCCUACAGGAAAGAGAUCUAUUGGAUGCAAAUGGGUCUACAAAGUAAAGCACAAGGCCGAUGGUACCAUUGAAAGGUAUAAAGCUCGUUUGGUAGCCAAAGGCUACACUCAAGAGGAGGGAAUAGAUUUUCUGGACACCUACUCUCUAGUUGCCAAACUUACUUUUGUUAGGAUGUUGCUUACCCUUACUGCCUCUUAAAAUUGGUUUCUACAUCAACUAGAUGUAGACAACGCCUUUCUUCAUGGAAACUUGAAUGAAGAUGUGUAUAUGGAUCCUCCACCAGGGUUAAAUGUUGAUGUUAAAGGACAAGUAUGCAAGCUAACUAAGUCCUUGUAUGGGUUGAAACAGGCGAGCAGACAGUGGUUUGACAAGCUCUACACAUUCCUGGUUUCUUCUGGAUAUGUUCAAUCUAAAUCGGAUCACUCUUUGUUUGUCAAGAAGACUCCUAAAGAAUUCAUAGCACUACUUGUGUAUGUUGAUGAUAUUGUUUUAACUGGAAAUUCCAUGAAAGAGAUCAACCUCAUAAAAACUCUUUUGGACAAGCAAUUCCAGAUUAAAGAUCUGGGAGAACUCAAGUAUUUCCUGGGUUUUGAGGUUGCUAGAUCUAAAAGGGGAAUACAUUUAUGUCAAAGGAAGUAUGCCCUUGACAUUCUUGAAGAAACGGGGAUGCUAGGAAGUAAACCUAGCUCUACACCAUAUUUGAGCAACAACAACUCUCUGUACAAAACAGAGGACUACAUGGAUAAUCCUAGUGAUUAUCGAAGGCUGAUAGGGAAGUUAUUUUACCUUACUAACACUAUACCAUAUUUAUGUUUUACAGUUAAUCUUUUGAGUCAGUUUAUGCAGGAACCAACCAAGCACCAUUAUCAGGCCUUGCAACACAUUCUCAGAUAUGUUAAGUCAAGUCCUUCUGAAGGACUCUUCUUUGCUUCCAAUUCUCGUACACAGAUAAAGGGCUUCAGCGGUUCUGACUGGGCCACCUGCCACAAUACAAGGAGGUCCACUACUGGCUAGUGCAUUUUCUUGGGGAAUUCUCUUGUCUCUUGGAGAUCGAAGAAGCAGACUACUGUCUCAAGAUCUUCUACAGAGGCAAAAUACAGAGCUCUAGUUGCCAUGGUCUAUGAGAUGCAGUGAUUACACUAUCUCCUACAAGACCUUGAAGUGAAACCUAUAGCUACGGCCGUCUUAUAUUGUGACAACAACUCUGUCAAGCACAUAGCUCAUAAUCAAAGUUUCCAUGAGCGAACCAAGCAUAUAGAGUUGGAUUGCCAUGUUGUUCGAGAGAAAAUACAGGCCAAGUUUCUUCAUCUGCUCCUUAUCCGAUCAGAAGAACAGCUUGCAGAUGUCUUCACAAAAUUUCCUCACCGCACUUGCUUUAAAUCCAUUAUUUCCAAGCUUGGAAUGGUGAAUAUCCACCAUCCAGCUUGAAGGGAGACUAUUAAAUGAUUCUGUUAUGCAUUUAUUAGAUUCUGUUUGAGAUUACUGUUCACACGAACAGUAAUCUAGUUUUAGGGUUCCUAAUUUUGGGGCUUUUCUAUUUGUGUGUUACCAGAACCUUAUAUAAGGGAUUCCAGCCUUUGUAAUAGAAGAAGAAGAGAGAAUAAUAAAAAUUACAACACCAUUACUUUGCAAAUAUUACUUUCGUACCUUAGAACGUGCGUCCUUCGUCUUUAUUUUUCUUCUUCCGAUCAUCUGCCGCCACUGUCAGCCUCGUCGGAGCUUUUCAUCGUCGUCGUCUCUCGUACUGGAGCCUCCACUGGAUUCGUGUGCUUCAUCUCCAUCUCGCUACUCGCUCGAAGUCUUUCGCACUCAUCUAUCUUCUGUCUUCAGAAAGUGCACGAGUGAGAUAUUUUAUCUCACUUUGGGCCACACAUUUUGGGCCUUCUUUCUGUCGAAGACUGGGCCAGUUCAGUUUCUUUAGAUUCAAAGAUAAAAAUUAUAAUUUGGAUCAAAUGCACUAUGAAUACAGCCUAACCCUCAUCGUCAAAGGUGUUGACCAAGCACUCAACAACGCAUAAACACGUUGAUCACCAAACAACUUCCAAAAUUAAAACCAACACAAAGAAUGAAUAUUCACACGGUUACCGUUUCAAAAACAGAUCCUAUGCACACUAAAAAAAAUAUGCUAAAAGAAGAAACAAAUCCUAAGAAUAUGAACACAAAACAUAAAUGCAAAAAAGAAAAUAAUCUAAAAAAGACUAACUAAAAACCCUAAGACUUAACUCGCUGAGUCCCAACAACGACGUGAUUUAUUAAACUGGUUUUAGUUGCACAAAAUCAGAACAAAGCUAGAUUUCUCCAUUAAUAAAGUAUAGAAAUAACCCAGGUAUCAAUCAUUGGACUCGGUACAAUUAAGUUUUAGAAAUGUUUAGUUGAAAUCUUGUGUUAUUUAUUUACUAAUUAUUUACUAACUAAUUAUUUAGUAUUGCAAGGUGGGUAAAAUGAAAUUUAAUUGAAAACAAAGAAAUUAAAAAAGAAAAGAGUAAAGAAAAAGGAUUUGUUUAAAAGGAAAAUAAAGAAAUAAAAUGUAAAGAACUUAAACCUAAACUAAAGUGAUGAAGCAAUUGGAUCUAACUAAGCAUACAAGUCAAAACAGUAACUAUAUGAAUGCUAAAAAUUAACAAGGCAAGAUAAUUAACUGGAUAUUGAAACUAAUGUAAACCAUGAACAGUGAAUGAAAAGAAAUGAUUUAUGCACAUAUCAGAACCAAAAUUAAAGAAUCGAAAAAUUUGUUAGAAAAAAACUAGUCAAAUUCAUAUAGUAUUAAGCACAGACAGUCAGAAAGACGUCGUGUGAAAAUAAACCCAUUACAUGAUGUUAAAGUUUUUCAGAACUCAUAACAAUGAUGCUCAUUAAAACUACACUGAAUUCAAAUUCAAUUUAUGUGUUUAACUACUAUGAUAUAUGAAAACAUAUUCUAAUUACAAUUAAAACAUAUAAUCUACUUUAAAACAUUUAAAUUCCUAAUUAAAACCAACUAUUAUAUUUAAUGAAUAAAAUUUAUUAAACUUAUGUCUAAUUCGAAAAGACAUCUCGAUAAUAUAAGCUCACUUUAAAAUCAUUUAAUUCAGAGUCCAAAUCAUUUUUUUCAAAACAAACAAAACAACAAAAAAAACUUACAUAAUCUCCCAAAAUUCCAGAAACAUUGCACAAAAAUCAAACUCAGGAAACACAUCAAUGAAAAAAAUUAUUAAUAAAAAAUUAAGAUUAGAAGAGAAAGUACCAAACGAAGCGCCGCGGAUAAUCCACAGAAAUCACUCAAAACAGAUUCCUCAUAGUGUUUGACUCAUUCCCUUUCAAGAGUCUCUAAUUAAUUAUAUUAAAAAAUAUUAAAAAAUGUCAUUUUAAUUAAUUAUAAAUUAUUUAUAUUUAGAUGCAGUUAUAAAAACAUCUUUUUAUUAAUUUUGUUUUGAAAAUCUUUAUGAACUUAUUUUAUAAAUUAUGUAAAAAAUAUUAUAUAUUAUUUCACGUUUAAAAUAUAAUAAACAUAUUUAAAAUAAAUAGAUUAUUUUUUUAAAAAUGCUUCAUACAAAAAAUCAAAUAAAUAAAUAUUUCUAUUUAUGUAUAUUAAAAUUUAACAAAAAUACAUAUAAUUUUAUAAAAUAAAAAAAAAACUGAAAACACUAUAAAUAAUUAACAUAUUAUAAAAUAUUUAUAUAAUUAAAAUAAAAUAUUUGAAAACAACAUUAAUACAACUGUAUAAUUUGAACAAAAAUAUGUUAAUCAUAAUUUAAUUUCAACUAAUAAACAAAGUAAAAAAUAAAAAGGUAAUAAACUAUUCUAACUCCUUUUCCUCUGAGAAUUUAUGAAUGAUAAACAUUUCCUCGCAUCCAAUAUUAUACCUCAAACUUCGCCUACCUGUAUGUGUUCUGACGAAUGUGGGACUUCAUAACUUGAAUAAUGCUCCAAACAUGAUUUUCUGAACAGACUUUAAAAUUUAGAACAGCAGUUGAGAGUUCAUCUGAUGUCUGAUGAACCUUGGAGCUAAUUACAGUCAUUCCAAAUAUAUUUUACUUGAUAUUACCAACUAUGUCGAUCCUUCUCCAGUAGGAGCGGUUCAUGCCUAAUUAAGGUUUAACUAAGUAUUUCUUAUAUGAUAUGUAUGCUAAGUGUUAAUGGAAAAAAUUCAGAUAUGUUAAACCUUGUCAAAGGAAAAGAAGUUGCAGACUAUGUUCAGCUUCAAGAAUGGGAUCCUGAUUUGUAAUAGGAACCCCAAAUAAAUACGAGGGUAACUUUAUCAAGCUCAUCAUUGAUCCCUUGUAGGAGAAAAACCAAGACCAAAACUAAUCUUACUUAUAAUCUGGGCCUUGAGAAGUCUUGGCUGAUCAGUAGAGAAGACAAUCAUCAUCUAAGAGCAAAUGAAAAAUACAUAAGAUUUUUUUCAAACAAUCUUCAAAGGAAAAAUGUCCUCCUUGGUUUGUUGGAUGAGGAAGGAUAAUUUCAGCAUAAAACAAACAAAUAACUUUGGACAAUGCAUUUGAUAAGGUAAUUAUGAAACUCUUUUACCUUAUAACAGUCCCAAAUAAACAACUAAUCCAUUAAGAAGAGGACCUCAGCUUUCAUUUAUCCAAACUAUGCUAGGAUAAUUGAAGUAGAAGCUAAAUUUCUUCUUUCUAACUCAUCCACUAAGACUUGAAGCAGAUGGAAGAGAAGUCAUUUACUGCAAACUGGGAUGCUUUCUCCCUAUUUCUUUCUGUUCCGGUCGGGAUUUGGUCCCAGCUCCCCUACACACUUUCCCACUUCGAACCGUCCGAUCCUCCGCUGAUCCAACUCCAGUUGAAUCGCUCUCCUUCGUCGAAGCCGGUCGGGUACCUGCCAAUGGCACUCCGACGCUCAAGUCAGUGGUCAAUCUUUUCUAAUAAAAGGUAGAGAUAGAGAGAGAGAGAAAUAAAUGUGCAUUCAAUGUGUCUCUAUCCCUUACCUUUGACUUAUAUUUAUAGUUUUCUUCGUGGGCCAGUGAUUAGCAGAUCUUUAAUUACGGCCCAAUCACAGGCCCACCACCAUUGAUUUGGUCUUACCUUAAUCUUGAAUGUUUACCAUACCUUAAUUUGCGAUCUCCGCCGGCCGUCCCUAUUGUAUAAAACAAGAAAAGAUUUGACGCUUGUCGUGACUUUCUUCCGGUCCUACAGUAUGCUGGUCCCCCGAGCUCUGAUCGGCAUAUUUUUGACGUAAUGACGUAGGGACGCAACGGCCGUCCGGCUUGGCAUGGUAGUUGUCCCGGAUGUCGUCAGGUCGUCAUGGCAUGGAGAAUGUCUGGUCGUCUUGCUGUGAUGAAUUCUUCAAAGUUUUUCUCAUGGACGAGUUCGUGACCGGUUAUAAUUAGACAGUCAUGUGGGCAUGACAGCAUCGUGCCAUGCGCGGCAUCCCCGAAUGCCGACAAGGUCUGCUUGGUUACCGGUCCUCCCGUUCGGCGACUCGAAGGCAAUGCCUUGGUCAUACCAGACGUUUCGUCUCUCAGCAUUUCGAAGAACACUUUUUGAGCAUGGAGAAUGCGGUGUUGUCUUGUGCUGACAUGACUUCAUGUGAAUUCUUCAAAGUUUUUCUUAUAAACAGAGGUUACUCCCGGCCGCCAACACCGGGCUUCUUUGUUGUAUUUCCUCGGGUUGUGGCGUGCCGGUCGUUCCGACUAUCUUUACGACCGUCCGUCCCCCUCCUUACAGUACACUUUCAAAAACAACUUCCUUCCACCAACGUUUUUAUGGGCCUGAAAAUUCUUUAUCUAUAGAGAAGACAAACACCACCAAAAACUACCAAACCUCAGGCUUUGGUAAUUGUAUUCUACAAAAAUUAUAAGCAACUAACUAAUUAAAACAUUAAAAUAAAAAUCAUCAGAAAUAAGACUAAAUAAUCGAACUAUGUUAGGUGGGAUGCACCAUGCCAUUGCAAGAGUGCAAAGCAAGAAACCAAAUAGCAUGAACUAGUCAGAAUUUCUGACUAGUGUCUGACUUCAUAACUUGAGUCAGAAGCUUCCAAACUGAAUGCCUAAUAUCAACUAACUAAAAAUUUAGAUAUGCAUGAAACUUGAAACUGUUUAUAGUCAUCCAAUUAUUUUUCACUUGAUAUGAUCAAUAGUUAAUUAAGAAGAAAAAUACUUAUCUUAAUAUAAUUAUCAAACUUAUUCAUCAACAGAUAGCAAAUGUUAUGUUGACUUUAUGAGUAUUUUAAAUAAAACUAAAAAAAUGUCUUUCAUUGACAUGAACUUUUAGAAUUCCACAUAUCUUAUAUUUUUUUUCUAAAGUCUUAAAGUCAAUAAUAAAGUGUCAAAAAGUUAAAUGUUGAUUAUGAGUAUGGAGGUCUAUUUGUUCGUUGUACGGCACAAUCAGGUCAUCCAACAAGUCCAUGCGUUGGAAAGUCUUCCAAUACCUUGCUCGCCCCAUACCUAGCUAUCUCCGUCGUGAUGACCAUAGGUUCAUUCCCACGAUCAGUUCCGACAUACUUCUUCAGUUGUCCCGCCCAGAUCAACUCUUCGAAUCUAUCCCUUAGGGUCACACACUCCCAUAUCAUGUGACCCAUGUUUUUAUGGUAAAGGCAAUGCUUGAUGUCAUCCGCACCGGGCGAUGUGGGAUGUCGCUUUGGCAUAUGAAUUAGCUUUGCACUAAGAGCCUCUUGUAGUAUCUUGGCCCGGGUCGCGUUCAACGGGGUGUAUUGCUAGAAGCGCGACCUGGACGGUCUUUGUCCCACUCUCCCUGACUUUUUUCCUGUAGGCUAACAAGAACCGUCGGGCGUCUCAUUUUGCUCCAUUCGUUCUACCCAGACAAUCUUAUCUCCCUUCUCUACGACCUUCUCCCCAGCGAUCAUGGCCGCGUUCUCAACUUUAAGCACGCCAAUUCCGCUUCGUGACACUGUUGCAUUUCCUCCAUCUUCUACUGUAGCAUUUUGAUCAUCUCUAUUGGGUCUUUUGUGCUCAUGUUUCUUGUGGUCACCAUUGGGUAUCAAUCAAGUCACUCAGUCCCACGAUGGACGCCAAAAUGUUUUGGGCAUAGGGUCAAGUAACUUCUAACACCUUCAUAAUUUCCUCUUCAAAGUCGUUUGGGAGCUUAAGUCCUCGUACUGUCUUCGUCUUCACUUUAACCGUCUGGAGGGAUACCUGCCAAAGGUUCUAUGAUGCUUAAGUUAGCAAAUAAUCCAUACGGGAAGUAAGAGCAAUAGUAUUAAAUGCACAACAGAUACAAUCACCUACCUCUUAUAUUUGACCUUUAUUUAUAUUUUUUGAGAUGAGUUUAAAAUUAGUGAAACCUUAAUUUCGGUCUCUUAUCUCGGUAUCUUAAUCUUUGAUUUGAGAAAACUGAUUAAGUUGGUCUGUGCAGUUUUGUCUGUGUUUGGGUGGUCUCUUUCUUCACAAAUUGUAGCACCGUCCGCCCUACGAUAUAGUUAUAAUAGGAAACCCAGAUAAAUAAUUCACCCAUCAUUAUGUAUACCUAGCUAAUUGGAGAAGUGUAAAUUGAAGAGAGUACAACAAUAUUCACCAAAAUAAGUAACUGAACUGAUCUGAAUGGGAUGCGCCAAGCCCUUGCAAAAUUGCUAAACAAAGCUAUUAUGCUUGAGAGAUAAGUUGCAAGUUACUCUAACAUCUAUAUAAUUUAUAACUCAAGAUAUGUUUGAAUCCUUCCACAACUAACUGUAAUAGCGAAUCCAAAGUAAUGCACUUCCUUAUAAUCAUGAAACAACUACCACCAGAACUGAAGAACAAAUAAACAAACAUUCAACAAGAACAUAAAAACAAACUAUCAGAAAUCAAAGCAAAUAAUUGGACUACUUUGGGUGGGAUGCACCAGACCCUUGCAGAAGUGCAACACAAGGACGAUGCUUGAGGAACCAAGUAGCAAGCUACUUUAAUGGCUCCCUCCCUCAAAAAAUUAAUUUAAUAUCGUGUGAACUAAUAGCCCACAUAUCAGAUAUUAAACUGAUAAGAACAGAUACUACACUUGAUCUUAGCCAAAAGGCCGAGAAAGGUAUGCUUUGAAAGUUUGAAGUGUUUAGAUUUUAUCUCUCAAGCUUCAACUCUUUGUCAGUAUUCUGACAAGUAUGGGACUUUCAGAUGCUCCAAAAUGACUGUCUAAUUACAACUAAAAUUUAGAUAGCGCUGAAACUUGAAACUGCUUAUAGUCAUCCAAUUAUUUUUCACUUGAUAAUAGACCAAUAAUGUUGAUCCUUUCCAAUAGUCAAUUAAGAAGAAAAUGUUUAUCUUAUUAUAAUUAUCAAACUAAUUCAUCAAAAAAUAGCAAAUAUUAUGUAUCUUAAGUAAAACUAAAAAAAUGUCUUUCAUUAACAUGAACUAUUAGAAUUCCGCAUAUUUUAUAUUUUUGUAUUCUAAAAUCUUAAAGUCAAUAAUAAAGUGUCAAACUUCCAAGUUAAAUGUUGAUGAUGUUAGGAUUCAACAAAGAAAGGAAAAAAGUUGUUUGUAAAUUGCUUAUAGAACUCAAUGGUGAUCAGUGCCUUAGACUAGGCGCUGGGAAAAAACGUUAGUUACGUGUUUGAAGUUUUUUGAUACAUUAAGAAGUCAGUACCACGAUUUAACUCUAUAAUAUUGUAUUAAAAAUGUGUACAUAUAUAUAUACAGCAGAGCACAAACUGAAAAUGGUAGUAGCAGCAUGAGAUUUGAUGAAUGCAAGAAAGAGAAGCAUUAGUGUAGAAUUGUGAAGAAAGAAAAGGAUUUUCAUCUUCCAUCAAGAACCCCGCUGAAGACUUGGCUGUCUCCACCUAAUGAUGCUUCCCAUUCUGUGGAUGACAUAACAAUCUGUGACAAUGCCACAACUAUCUCCCUCAUCACAGGCCUGUCGUUUGGAUCUUCGCACAAACACCAAUGAGCUACUUCUGCCAUCUGCAAAGCCGAAUGUUCCAAAUAACAAANUUAUGAAAAGAGAAAAACGAGUCAUGUGAAAAAGUGAUAUAUAUAACUAUUUUAUGUCAGAAUAAUAUUAGAUUAAGGAAAGCAGCAUCAUUAGUCUAACCCCUACAUUAUCUCUAAAGACACACAAUAACUAUGUUAAAGGAGUGAUCAUUAUUAUCUUUGUUCAAACACAAAAUAUUCUUUGAACCAAAGAACCUCAUCCUUAGUUCUUACCCAUCUAAUGCUUUUGCUUUUAAAAGACAUUUGUUUGUUUUAGGUGAUUAAGAAACUAUUCGUUUGUCUGUUUGUCUAAAUUUUUCAUUGGUGCUCUUGACUUCUUAAAGGGAAAAGUUUAGGUUACAGGUCCUCCCGAGUGAAACUGAUAUCCUCAAUUACUGAUUUACUGUCUCUUAAAAACUAAUAUCUGUAAAAACUAUUUUUUUUAUUUUAUUUAUAUUUCCAUUGAGUCCACAGAGAGAUAUUAAAUUAAAAUAGAGUAUGCGAGUAAAGAUAGGAACUUCAGGUAAAUCUAACCUUGUAGACAUCUUCCAUGGGAUAGCUAUGCUGAAGAUUCCCAUCUAUGGCAUCUGCUAAAACAUUCUCUGGGUAUUUAUUUCCGAAGAUUUGGCUAACCUGAAUGUGAUGAAAACAAGCCUUUCAAAUAAUAAUAAUAAUAAAUGUUUGAGUAUUAACUCAACUGCGGAGUUAGAUUUCUCUGAAUAAAAGUGAACUAAUGAUCUAUUGGAUUUCAUUUUCAUAAUACAUACUCUCAACCUUAAAUUCUAUUUCUCUUCUAUCUCUUCUUAAUGUUCUAUGAGAAAUGAGUUUGACUUACAACUGUAACAAGUGAUUUCAUAUUGUUGGCUUGUUGGUUGUCACGAAAUAGUGCACGUUUCCCUGUUAUCAACUCUGACAGAACCACCCCAAAUGCAAAAACAUCUGUUUUUAUAGUCACUUGAAGCUCCUUAACAGAUCUAAAAGGNGCAAAAAAGCAAUCAAGUCAGAAUAAAAUCAACUGGUGUGUAACUUUUUUUGACUUGGGUUUAAGUAUAUAAUGGUAGCAAGAAAAUUGAUUCUGUUGAAUACACCAAGAGAGUGUACUUAUGAUCUGAAAGCACAAAACCUACUCUGGUGGAAGGUAGCCCGGUGUUCCAACCAGCCUUGUUGCUAUGAAUUCUUCAUCAUUGGUUCGUUCUACUAGCUUUGCAAGUCCAAAAUCUGCUACCUAAGUACAAAAGGCCAACUUAACAGAUUGAUUUUGAACUCAGUAUAGAGACUCUGGUUCAAAGUUUUCUCAACUCAGCUUUACAAGGAAAUAAAAUAAAUUCAUCCCCAGCAAUUUCUUACAAGACAAGUUAAAUUCAAAGGGACAUGUACAAUGUUUUAAAACCUUAGAUGUUUUGUUAAUCUACAGUGUUAUAACAUGUUUAUUAUAUGAUAACAUGAAUAGCUGAUUCAGUUUACUUUAUAUAUUAAAAAAAAUUAUAACUAGUCCCAAUUUUCUUUUAGUGGUGGCAAUUUUGGACAGAGCAGAAGGGAGCAAAACAAGGCAAGAUUUACCUUUGCUCUUAGCUUCUCAUCAAGGAGAAUAUUGGAAGUCUUUAUAUCACGGUGCACAUAUCGAGCUUUCGUGUAAUCAUGUAUGUAUUCAAGACCUUUUGCUGCAUCCAAUGCAAUUUGAACCCUAGCACACCAAGAAAGAGGCUGGUGACCUGUACCAAUACAAUGGUAAAAUUAGGUUAUAUAACUUAAUUUGAUCUUUAAGUAAUCAUACUCUCUCACGUAUUGGAUUAAUCUUUUGAGAAGAGUUAUAUUGUGUUUGUUUGAGUCCUAAAAUGUCUCAUCGGCUUACUUUUGUUUGGAAAGUGAUUUUGGUAUCGAUAUACCUUUCAGUAAUGGAUCAUGAAGGUGCUCACUGAGAGAUCCAUUUGGAACAUACUCAUACACCAAAUAAAGGUGGUCAUCUCCGCUGGCAUAUCCCAACAACUCCACCUGAAACAGUGAUUAUAUCUAUAGUAUAAUCAAACAACAUUUCUUAAAGAUAAUGCUAAAGCUCUCUUCAUCAGAGACAUUACUUACAAUGUUAAUGUGAUGGAUCUUACACAGGGCCUUGAGUUCUGCAUAGAAUUCUUUGGAUUUAUUAGACCUCAUCUUCUUUACUGCAACCUCCUGAAGUUAAAACAGCUAUCAUUCUCCAAUUCUCAAUCAGCAAAUGAAAAUAUGCUUCAAUGUCUUGGGUUUUCAUACCUUCUCCUCCAACAUUCCGAAAUACACACUCCCGUAUCCACCUACUCCAAUCUUUCGCGUUUCAUCAAAGUUAUUUGUAGCAUCUUCAAUCUCCUCUAGAGCAUAAAUUACUGGUCUUUCUGAUUCAAAUGGAGUUGCAUCUUCGGCCAUAUUUACCAUGAAUAAACAAAAGACCUUCUUAAUCUCCUUGUAUAGAUAUUAGCAAAUUACUGAAAACGUUGUAUUUUCGAAAAUCAGUUGCUUUUGCUUCCAAAAUUUAUUUUCAAGUUACCUUCUAUAUGUUCUGCAUGAAAGUCCUUUAUGGAAAUAGUUCUAUUUCCAAUGGAUCUUUUAGACACAAUAUUUGGAUCAUUUUUUGCGACUACACUGGCCCUGGAUCUCCUAAGAACGACAACGAGAAUGAUCAAAGUGAUAGUUGAAAAGAAUGCCACACCCGCUAAGAUGCCAAUGAUUAUAUAGUGUUUCUUUUCUGCAAACAAGGGAAAGCCAUGCUAAGAUUUUGUACCCUAGUGUAAGAUUUUGCACCGCGUGCCAAUAAAAAUAUGGAAAAAUCAUGAAUGCUGCUGAAAUAUAGGAAGAGAAAUCAUCACCUUUUCCUUUGGAAGGCAAACCAUUGAGUUCCCUUGGAACAUACAGCACCCAACUAAUAUCUAUGAAUGAGGGGUUCUGAACCAGAACUUCGUUCAUACUCACCAUGUCAUCUAAGGUAGCAUUUAGCAGAGUAGCGAUUGAUAUGGGUGUAUCAUUCCGCUGAACUGUAUACGUGACAACAAUUUGGGAGUCUUUUUUUUCUGAACACCCACAAGGAAGAUGUAUUGCUAAGUCCUCGUUUGGGUUCACUUCUCUGUCAAUAGACCAGGCUUGACCACUGUAAACAAUGUUGUUAAUCUCCACAGAAGAGUCAUUAGGCUUCACCUUGUAGGUUGUAUCAUAGAAAUAUCCGCCAAGGUCAUUGGAGCUAUUGCAGGAACAAGGGACUGUUAUAAGGUAAUCUUGCUUUGUGCCACGCAUUAUAGGUUUGAUUUGGGAGGGGUGAACGGAGUAAAAGUUGGCUAAGUCAUCUGCGUUGUGAUUGUAACUUAUGUGGUAGAGUGAGGCAUUGCAUGUGCUGAUCAUGGAGGAGCAUCUGAACGGUUCAAAGUGAGUUGUUUUGAGAGAAGCUUGGAAGGAAAACACAGCUACAGUUACACAAGAAGUUGCAAGAAGAGGAAUGAGAAGAGAAGUUAGAGAAGCCAUGGUUUGUGUGAUAAUAAUGAAACCUGUUUGAAAGGGAAGAGAGAUAGGAAAGCAAAAUAACAAACUGGUUAAUUUCCAAGUGCAUCCGUUGCAUUGCACUUGUCAUCAUGUGGUUGUUGCUUCUUGAUUUCAAGAACUAGAAACGUUCUCCACUUAGCAUGAUUUUACAAAAUGUGAUGAUUAUUAUAGAAUUAUUUGGUCCCAAUCGUAAGGAUGGAGCAUAUUUGUGGGAUCUCCGACGGCAAUAGUGGACUCGAACAGAAAACAAAAGCAAUAGACAAGUUCCACACCGAAUAAAAAAGCGAUGGUGUCAAUCACAAGUCACACUCUAGCUGUCUUUUAAUGCCACUUGAAUGCUGACGAGUGGCAAAAGUUAUAUUAUUUUAUCUGGGUUUUCGUUUUAUCCUCACGUUAGUCGUUUUCAGUUGAAGUAUACUAACUUGGAUUUUAAAGAAAUAAGUGUAACAAAAAUCUAAUUCUUCCUCAUAUGCGUUUAUGUCAUCUUCGGAAUUAACUCCCCUACCUUUUUAAGUUUCUUUUUUUCAUAUUAAAAUUUGAGAAUUAACUUUGUUUUAAGAGUAAGAAUUAUUUUCUAGUUCUAUAUGUAAAUAGAUUUUUAAGUUUACCAUUAUCCUCUAUGCGGACAAAUUUCUUAAUUAUAGAAAUACAUUCACUUAUUUUCAAAUUUAAGUUUUAUGCAUAUAUAUUGUUAAAUCACAAAUCUAAAUUGGAUUGAUCAAUAUAAUGAUUUUUAUGCAUUACGAAGACCAUCUUAUUAUUAUUUUUAUUCUCAUUAUAUUAAAAAAUAUUAAUGGCAAUCACAUUAUCCAAGUAAUAGCCUCUAAGCGUAGUAAGUCUCUAGAAAUAGGUGAACAAAAUUCAUCUUUGGGUGAGUUAAAGUGAAAGGUUUUAAUAACUAAUUUUCUCAUGGUAAAAUAACAAAUAUAUAGAUAAUAACAUAAUUCAUAAACAGAAAUUGAAGUAUAAAACUCCAUAAAUUGGAUGUGUUCCAAUCUUUCCAGCAAGUCCUAAUCAUGUUAGAUGAUCCAGAUCGAGAUUCACAGUAACGGCUAAACAUAAUAAAAUAUUUAUCUAAAAUUUAAUAUUAAUAAAACAUAUAUACAAUAAAUAAAUGUAUCCUUUAUUAAUCUUAUAAAGUUUAAUUUUCUUUUAAAAUUAUUUAUAGUCUUAAACUUAAACAUGAAAUUAGAACUCGUCCUUAUUUUCAAUUUUAAUACAUUUAAUCUUUAAAUUUUUGAAAAUAAAUUAAUAAUGUUAAUUUUUUUUAUUAAUUAAAUGACGUUUCAGUUAAUAUUUGAGUUAGAUAAUUAUUAAUUUUCAAAGUUUGUGCAGAAAGAAUAGUCCUGAAGUGAUAGGUUUAUGGCCGAAUAACUACAGCAUAUGGUGACAAUGAUGAACGAAAGCCAAUUUUUGUUACACGAGUGGCAGGUGAACAGCUAACUUCUCGCGGCAACCUUAAACCAAAAGAAGUAAGGGAGAAAAGAGAGGUUGUGAAAGUUGAUUGACUUUGGCCUAAUUUGUUUCUCUUCCAAUAGUAAUGAAGGAAACAAUGACAAUGUUCCAACUAUGUUUAGAAAGACAAAAAUCUAUAAUUAAUUUGCUACUUUUUUAUCCUCUCUGGAAUCAAAAUUUCUUCAUUAGGUCAUGCCACCAUAAUUAACAGAAAACAAGGAAACACCUAUCCUUAAUAACAACCUCAGACAACAAACGCACUUUCUUGUGUUAUAAAAGGACCCAAUAUUGGUUUCCUUUGGGUGCCAUUGAACCUACAUUGACCUUUUCUGAGCAAAUGAAAAUGGCACGAAUCUUCCUUACCACUCUUUCUCUGCUGCUCCUGCUCCUUGCUCCUUCCGAGGCUGAUCAAAUAAAUCCCUACCAACCAACAUCUUUUUCUGAAAUUCAUAAACCAUUUCUGGGCCGCCGUGAUGAUUCCCACAGUAAACUAACAGGUGACACACCCGAGGAAAGAAAACAAUUCGAUGAUCGAGAACGCUACACAUUGCCUCAAAAUGCUUUCCACACUCCUGACAAACUCACUGAAGGAUUCUACGACCAAGUUUGCCCCGGUUUACAAAACAUCAUCACCCAAGCUUUCCGCCAGAUCGUUGAGCAGAAUUCAGGCGCAAUCGGUAACAUCAUUCGCCUUCAGUUCCAUGACUGCUUCGUCAAUGUAAGCAUUUCCUAACAAUGCAUUGCCUCAUCGUACUUUUCUUUCUUCUCUAUAAAUCAAUCUUAUUAUAACCAAAGUAUAUAUAUAUAUAGUACCACUAACAUAACCAUCAAUUUGGUUCAAACAUUUUAGAGAAAAAGUAAAUUAAUAGUGAAAUGAAAUCAGUCAAGGUGAUGACAGUAAAAUAGUUUUUAUAGUUAAUCAAGAACAAAAUUUUCUUCUAUGAAGUAAUCUGUAGAGGGUCAUUUGUAUAUUUAUAUUUUUGCUAUAUAUAUAUGAACGAAAAGACAUAGUGAUGAGUUUCUAACCCAAGUUGGAAUGAUGGGAUUGAACAAAGGGAUGCGAUGCAUCGAUAUUGUUAGAUUAUACACCAUCGGGUGACAUGGUUGAGAAAGGUUCGGCGUUCAAUGGUUUUCUCCUGAAAGGGGCUGACAUGAUAGAUGACAUAAAGGCAAAGGUGGAGAGCAAGUGUCCUGGAAUCGUGUCAUGUGCAGACAUAUUGGCAUUUACAACCCACGUAGCAAUGACAAUGGCGGGUUUACCUGCUCAGAGGCCCCUUGGAGGUCGCAAAGACGCUACCGUUUCCUUUGCAAGCGUUGUAGAAGCCGACAAUCUUCCUAUGUCAGAUUGGAACAUCGACCAAAUGAUGGAACUGUUUGGCAGGAAAGGGUUCAACAUAGAAGAAAUGGUGGUGAUGAUUGGUGCACAUUCUGUUGGGAUUACUCAUUGCGACUUCUUCAUGCAGAGGGCCUUAGACUUCAAUAAGACUGGGGUCCCUGACCCUACCCUGGGUCAGGAGACGAUUGAUGAAAUCAAAAAAGCAUGUCCUAAUCCUGGCACAACCCUGUUUAGGAAUCCCCCUGUGAACUUUGAUGCCACACCAACUGUUCUUGAUAACCUCUUCUUCAAGGACAUGGUGGAUAAAAGGAGAACUUUGCUCAUUACAGAUGGACAUCUUAUUGAAGAUAGCAGAACUAGGCCAAUCGUCGAACAGAUGGCAGCCGACCCUAACUUGUUCCCCAAGAGGUUUCCUGAGGUCAUGCUCAAGCUCAUGUCUUUGAAUGUGCUCACAGGAAAUGAAGGGGAGGUGAGGAAGAUUUGUAGAUCCACUAAUUAAACAUCAUACAAAUUACUGUAACUAUGCCAUCAUCGUUAACUAAAUUUCUUAUUCUUUAAUUCCUAUUUUUUCCAACUGGGGCAUUUUCUUCACUGCCCCUUUUCUUCCUUCCAUUUGGAAUUUCUCUCAUGUAUUCAUUGCCAACUAACUAUUAUUCAUUUUUUCUUAUCUAUUUCUCUCAUCUAUUCAUGCGCAAUUAACUAUUACAUUACUAUUUAUCUAUCAUUAAACAACCUUAAACUUAUCGUCAAUUAGAGGAAAGAACAAGUAUAAAUCAUUCAAAACUUUUAGUUGCAAAAAUCAGAGAAAGGUUUCCCCUCUGUUGUUGUAUGAAAGUUCUUAAUUAUUGCCUUUUGGACUCCCUAAUAUUACGUUGAUACAGUUAAAAAAUAUUUGAAAUAAAGUGAAUUGAUUUGUAUAAAAAAAAAUUAAUUAUUUAAAAAAAUAUUUUUUUUAUAUAUAAUUAUUUGAACUAAAUUACACUAAUUUAUGAUGUUAUAGAAAAUACACUUUAUAUAUUUGGGUUUUCUUAAUCACAUCGACAUAUUAUGUACAGAUUGUCACCAACUAAGCUAUUACUCUACAAUUAGUAAACUGACGAGAAAAUAGAGCCAAGUCAGAAAAAAUAAAGAUAAAAACUGAGGUCAGAGUUCAUUCUGAAAUGAAUUAAAGUCAAAUGUUGUUGUUCUCGAUAAGUGGAUUGGAACAUACUAUGUUUUGUUAGAAUGUCUGUCUUUGACCUAGUAUUGUGAAAAUUGACAUGAUCAAUGAUCCGUGGAGGAAAUGAUUCAGUGCUCAACUUAUUAUUUACCCUAUAUACAUCAUUAUAAGAUUUAAAUCAAAUGUAUUAUUAGUACAUUAAUUAUAUUUUCCUUAUAUCAUUGUUAUUAGGUAUAACUACUACUUUAGUCUUUUUUUUUAAUAUGUUUGUUUAAUCAAAUCUCAAUUUCUUUUUUGUUAAUUUUGAUUAAUUAAGUUUUUUAACACUCAUUAAAUAAUUAACAAAAUAUGAAUAAUAUGUUAUUUAUCAAUGAAUUUUUUGCUAUUUUUAAUUUUUUAAAAAUAUAAUUAUUAAAUUAAUAUUGUGUCAUAUGUCAUGUUUUAUUUUUUUAUAUUUAUUAUUUUUAUUCAAUUUUAUCUUAUUGUUUUAAGGUUUAAUCAUUCAGUAAGUCUCUAUUUUUGCGUGGAAUCUCAAUUUAGUUCUAUUCUUUUAAGAUUUUUCAAUUGGGUCUCAAUUUUCUAAAAAUUGUAACAAUUGAGUCAUUUCCGUUAAAUUGAGUCUAACGGCAUCAAUGUGUGUUUAACGUGGCACUGAAGUCAGUUUGAUAUAGCUGACAAGCCUUUUCCCUCUACUCAAAAUUUUAGUUGCAUUGAACCUUCGAAAAAAUAUCACAGUACCAAAAAGCAAAACUUUCAUUUUCUUCCUAAAUCCAACAUCAAUCAAAGUUUCCAACAAAAGCAGACACCAAUACACAACAUCAUAAUUUAAAAUACCAGCAACCCAGAUGGACAUUGGGUGAGUGAGAGCACAAAUUGACCCAAAGUUCAGACCUUUGCAGGAGGGGGUGGAGCUUGAGGAUCUUAAAUCAACUUUUUGAAGCGACCCACAAAUUCUUUGUUCCACAUAUAGUCAUCAAAGGCCAAAGGGUCUUCAUCAUUUCCACCCCAGUACUUGCGGAGCUUGGUGGUGGUGGGAGGAUCACCGUACUCCCCAAGAGCCAUCCCAGUGGACCAUUUCAUGGGCUUCUUCUUGAGAAGGAUAACUUUGGUCUGCUUUGGGUCUGUCAAGGGUGCGGAGCUUUGAGACUCUAGAUAAGUGGGUAUGGCUGCACAGUGCACACAAACGUGGCUCACAAGUGCCAUUUUUCGUGUUAUGGCAAUGUAAUCCUACAAAGACAGGGCAAUGGAGGGGCGACAAAUACAAAGAAAUGAUGUCGUCAAUUGUGUGUUUGUCAUGUUUACACAUACUAGUUAGUUGCCAAACAAUGCUUACAAAUUGUCGGGAAUCCUCUCAGACGAAGUUCUAUACUCUCGCAUUGCCAUGAAAUUGACAUUCGAAGCACCAACAUGGUGUCGUACAGGUUCAAAUUAAGAAGAAUAAGAUGAAGAUAACAACUCCGACGACGACAAUUGCACACUCUGUGAAGGUCAAUUUGGAUUAAACCCUAAAUUCCCAAAAUGAUUCUCCAAUUUAUAAAAUGGAUUGAAAUUUGAAUGAACCCUAGAAUAAUUCAGCUUCCAAUGUUAAUCCCUAAUUCGAUAAAAUAAGAAUUCCAAUCCCAAUUUUGGUUUAAAACUUUCCUUUUUUUAUUUAAAAAAUUGAUUUAUUCACAUCAAUUAAAGUGUUUUUACUUCAGUUAGCCACAUGAAUAUAAGAAACUGACUCCAGCCUCCACGUCACACACACACUUAAGAACGGAACUAAAUUGAGAUUUUACGCAAAAAUAGAGACUUCCUGAAUAAUUAAACAUUGUUUUAAAUAAAUUAUUUUUUAAAUUAAAAUCAAAUUUAAUAUAAAUAUUAUAUUAAUAUUUUUAUUAAAAUUUAUAUUUUUAUUAAUUAGUGUUUUUAGAAUUAUUUUUAAAUCAAAGUUAAUUUCAAAUAUGAUAAAACUAAACAGUAAUAAUAGAAAUUUUAAGAUGACAAAAAUAAUGGAAUAAUAAUAAAAUUAAAUUUAAAAUUAAAAGUAUGCACUUAAGUUGGGUGACCACUUAAAAAUCAAAGAUAAAUUUAAUAUUGUUAUAUAGUUUUUAAUAUAUUUAAAAUUAUUAGGAUUAAUUUAACACUAAUUUAAUAAAUAUUAACUAAUAUAAAUAUAAUUUAAAUAAAAAUAAUAAUAUAAUAUUUAUAUAAAAUAUAAAUUUGAUUUCUAGAAAAUAAUAGAAUUAAUUUAUUUAAAAAAGUUAAAAAUAAAUUGAAUAAAAAUAAGACUAAAUCGAAUAUAAUAUAUCAUCAUACGUAAUACUAACACAUGAUGUGACAUAGUACUGUAGUCACGUGACAUUAUCUUAAUUUAACGCAGACUUUUUUUGUAAAUUAAAAAUUUUAAGAUUAUGAAAAAAAUUAUAAAUUAAUAUAUAACUUACAUAUUAAAGAGAAAUGUAAAAAUAAGUUAAUGAAACAACAUUAACAAAAAUCAUAAUUUGAUUAAAAAAACUAUCAUACUAAAAAAACUCAAUGAAAACACGGGUUAAAAUAAUAUUUAAACUUUAUUAUUAUGUAAUAUACACAAAAUAAAAAAAAUUAAUAUUUUUUUUAAUAAAAUUGUUAAACAACGAAUAACCUUAUCUUUUAGGUAAACUUGUUUUUUUAGUAUGUAGGUUAUAACAUACUUGAGAAAUAAGAAAAAUAAAUAUAUUAUUUUAAUGUUAUGAAAAUUUUAAUAUAAUUAUAAAUAAUAAUAAUAAUAAUAAUAAUAAUAAUAAUAAUAAUAAUAAUAAUAAUAGUAGUAGUAGUAGUAGUAGCUGUUGUCCCCUAUUGAAAAUGAAAUUAUUUUAUGGUUAGUUGUGUCAAUUGUUUAUGGUGUGUUGUUGUUGGUCUGAUGCAUGUAGUUAGUGUGUGUUAACAUAUAGGCUUAAUUGGUUGAUUGUUGUGUCAGAAGAAAACAAUAAAACUCUACAAUAUCCCCCUUGAAGGGAGCAGUCCCCCUCCACAUGAAUUGUUAACUGAAUAGGUUAAAAUACAGGCUUAAUUGUAACCUUCUUAUAAGAUUUUUCCCCAUUACCCAAGUAACUGUUAAUUAUACACUUCGGUUUCGUAAAAAUCGAAGCGUAUAAAAACACGAUGGUAGUUUUGUAAUAAUAGCCAAUGUAUACGCCUCGGUUCCCAUAUAACUGGUGCCUAAAGAGGAUAUUGCCUCGGUUCCUGAGUGACCCGAGGCAUAAACAGCCCCUUACUCCACCUUUUGCAAAUCAUUUUUCGUCUGACAUCUUUAGGAAGAUGAAUCUACCUCAGUUGCCCCCUACAAUCGGUGCCCAAAGCGUGUACUGCCUCGGUUAGGCGCCAACCGAAGCAUAUAACAUGAAUAUAUUUUCAAAAUUUGUAAUUAUAUAUUUCAUUUUUAAUUAUUUUCUAAAAGUUUAGGCAUCGGGUACGUUUGUAAGUGAGGCAGUAUGCCUCUGUUACCUCGGGUGAGAUUGGAACCGAAGCAGUAUAACGUUUUCACUUACCCUCUGUUUCGGUUGAACGGAUGAUAGAGACUGAGAAUGCCACCACCCCUUCUUCACGAUAUCGCCUUUCCUUCCUUCUGGUAAUCCGAGACUCUACAGCUUUGCCUGAUUCCUGUAUUUCCCUUUGUAAAACCGAUCGCGAUUGACCUACAAGAAACACUCUGACACUCAAGUCAGAUGGGUCUCAUAUUUAUAGACCUAAUUUUAAAUAAUGAUUAUUAAUAAGUAAUGAAUAACAUAUCAAUGUCUGUCAUUCAAUCAUUAAAACCAUUAUAUCUAAUUGCAUUAAUUAGCCUUUAACACCCAUCAGCGGCAACCCAAUAGAAACAUGUUCCACUUCACCAUCUUCACCAAUCGGCUCGCCCUCCUGGCGGACUACCCCUUCUACCGGGUACACUGGGUACACUACACCCUCACUUUUCAGAACUUACCCUUCUCACUGUUCAGAACUUACCCUUCUCACUAUUCCUCUUCUUCUCGCGCUCUUCUCGCACAAACUCUCUUUGCUUUCACUGUUCUCCAACCACCGUGAAACAGCACUGUCGCUCUAUGGCCACCACUCCGCCGCUCUGCCGCCACCAUUCCGUCGCACAAACUCUCUCUGCUUUCAAUCUUCUCGCACUGCCUCGUACCCUACUUCUCGCGCAACCCCUUUGCUAUCUCGCCGUCGUGCUCCCUCCUCACUUUUUCUACCUCCUUAACAUCAUUUGUACUUAGCUUCAGCUUUGUUUAAGGUUUAUCUCCUUAUUUAGUGGUUUUGUUAUUUGCUCUGAAAUUUUCUCGAUGAACUGACAGCUCCAUCGCUCCGUUGCUCUGUUAAAGUCGCUCUUCACAUUCGUCUUCUCAAGUACUAUCUCUCUUCUUCCUCCUUUUCUCUUUUCUAUUUUUAUUUCCAACUCUCUAUUUUUUUUACUAUAGUAGUAAUUAUUAGAAUUUGCUUUGUCAUUUUGCAGACGAUUAAUUAAUUAAUGGCGUCUUCUUCCUUUUUCGACACCCGGGUUUGCUUAAUUAUCAUUUGGAAGAUUCUUUCUUUCUUUUUGUGUAAAUGAAACUAUUAUUAUUAAUGGUUUAUGAUUCCUUUCUUGUUUAUUUAGCAUUGACACUUAGAAUUUGCUUCAAUCCUUUUCUAGAAAAAGAGAAUCAUAGAAGUCCAGUUUCAGAGGUUUCUUUCACUUACAAUUUGGGAUUGUUUGAUUAGAUAAACUUGUAAUUCGAAGGGAUUAUGGUGUUUUACUUUUGUACUUUAUUAUUAUUAUUAUUAGGGUUAAAUAUGUUUUUAGUCCCUCAAUUUUUGGGCAUUUUUAGUUUUAGUCUCUCUUUCAAAGUAAGGUACAAUUUAGUCCUCCAUCUUUAGGAAACUUUGGUUUUAGUCCUCAAAAACUAACACCGUUAAAAAUCUGCUGAUGUGUCUAACGUCUGUCCACGUGUGUUAACAAUUUUGCUGCCUCUCUCUUGACACGUGCGAUUGCUUUUUUGCUGACAUGUUUUACACUUAAAAUUUAGGGAUUGACAGAUUGAAAUUGAUGUUACAAAUAAGUUAGGGUUUGUUUUGUUGUUAAAGAGGUGGACAUCAUUUCUUACCAUCAAUGUCAUCAAUUCUUUGUCGUCCAUGUUUGUUUCUGAGAUGUUCUUGCUUGAGGCUUUCAGAUCAAUGGACUUCUUUUCUUCAAUCUCUUCUUCAUCCUUCAGUCUAUGAAGUUCCAAUUCAUGUUCCCGUAACUUGCCAAACAAGGUAGUCAUGUUCAUAGUUGUAAGAUCUUUGGAUUCAGAGAUUGUAGUGACUUUUGGUUGCCAAUUCCUGUUUAGACUUUUCAAAAUCUUGAUGGUGAUCUCCUCCUUAUCAAAUACUUUGCCAAGAGCCAUUAAAUGAUUUACAAUAUGAGUCAAUCGUUUCUGCACAUCAUAGAUGUUUUCUCCAGCCUUCAUUCUGAAUAAUUCAUACUCCUGUACCAAUGAGUUCUUUCUGGCUCUCUUGACUUCAUCCAUGCCUUCAUGAGUUACCUCUAGGACAUCCCACAUUUCCUUUACAGAUUUGCAUUGAGAUACCUUGGAAAAUUCAUCAAUUGUCAGUGCAGAGGCAAUUAUAUUUCUAGCUUUAACAUCAUACUGAGCUUUUCCAUUUUCAUCAACAGUCCACUCAGUAAAAGGUUUUAAAACAGUUUCUCUAUCUACAGUUUUUGUAGGCACAUAUGGACCAUUCAAAGUGGCAUACAAAAUUCCCUUAUCUUGCAAUUCAAGAAAGAUUUGUAUUCGAAUUUUCCAAAAAGGAUAAUUUUCACCAGCAAAUAGAGGUGAUCUGUUUGUUGAAGCACCUUCACCAAAAGUUUGAAAACAGGAAGUCAUCCCCGGGUUUUAUAGUCGAAUACGAUAAAAACAGAGUCGACUAAAUUUUUCAAAUAUUAUGAAAACCAGCUCUGGUGCCAAUUGUUGAGAAAACAGGUAGGCUUCUUUACACCAAGAGGGAGGGUGGUUGAAUUGGUGUUAUUUCAAAAACAAAAUCUUUUUGCAAUCUUUAUACAAAAGUAUAAAGCUUUUUGAUAUUUCUUGAAAUGCAAGUAAUGAAAAUUUCUAUGCAGCGGAAAAACGUAGUUGAUUGCUUAACAAGUAUAGUCGACUGAAAUAAAGAGUGCAGGGAUAGAGAAAAUCAAACAUUGGUUUUUAUACUGGUCCAGCCAACAAUGCCUACAUCCAGUGUCCUUCCAAUCCAAGAAGCAAAUGCACUAUAUAGGUUACGGUUUUUACAACAAGGAGUUUAUAGAAGACCUCAUGUCAAAAAUAUAAAUCUUCUCUCUAACCCAAAACCAAAAUAUAGUUGCAGAAACCAAAACCAGAAUUGCAGCAAAAAUCCCUUCUUCUACAAUCUGAACCCACGUCGAACAAUCCUCAACGUGUAACCAGCACUCUUCACAGGAUGUCAAGCCUUAACACAACAGACUUCACAGGUUGCCAAGCCUUCAAUCAACGCAACAGUCUUCACAGGAUGCCAAGCCUUCAAUGAUCAAUCAAGAAGCACCUUCUUUGUCCGGUUCUGAUCACACAGUCAGUGCAUAAGCCUUCUCCCUUUGAAUCUCUCUCAAGAUAGAUCAUCACCGUCUUCUUGGAGAAUUCUUGGAGCGGUUAAGACAGAGAAUUCAAUCUGAAACAAGAAAUGAAAAUGUCAGAUUCACAAAAGUCUCUGAACAACUCGUCUUCAGCCAAUUUAUAGUUUUCUGUUAAACAGAUUGUUUCUCAGUUGAAUAACCUACUAAUUCAGUCGAUUGUAUUAAUACAGUUAUAACAGACAAUCAACAUAGAGGCUCUCAGCCAACGAAAAUCAACACACAUUCAAUAUAGUUGACCAAGUCAUUAAUGCUUAACUAACUUUUAAAAAUAUAGCCUUUUGAGCGUGUAAGCAUAUCAAAAUUCCAAAACAGAUCAAUAAUACAGUCGAAUGUACACCGGACAAAGUCGAUUGACACAUGUAAAAACAUUUUGAAAUUCUUUUCAAUCCAAAACAUCACAAAGCAUUGGUUCUCAAAAUCUGUACAAAGGGUUUAGAAUAGUCGAAUCCAUUACAGGUGUAUUCGGUUGAACUAGAACUUUGUCACACAAUUAUAAGUUCAUAAACGUGCUUGUGAUUUUUCACAAAUGUGCCAUAAAAUGUGUACUGUUAUCAAAGCUAUUUUACUGCACAUUAUCAUACAAGCAUUUUCCACAAAUAUAUCACACAAUCAACAUAGGAACAUACAUCACGGUACAUCAUGUUCAGCAGGUGUUAAUACCCAAUUUCGUCCGGAUUAUUUUUCUAAUAUUUUUUUUGUCACAUAUUUAACUCCUUUUAUUAUUCAUUCACCUAUUUUCUUUUUUGUUUAUUUUUAUCACCUUCUUACUUAUUUUUGUUUUAUGGUAGUCAUUUUAUUUUAGUUUAUCUUUUUAUUUUAUUUAUUUUACUUUUUCUUUUCAAUGCUUAUUUUCCUUUAGUUUUUAUUUUAUCCUAUUCUCUUUUUAUUUCAUUUUGUUUUUUCCUUUACAAUUUUUAAUUUUAAGUUUUUUUAAUUUUCGUAUUUUUUAAGUUUUAUCUUUCUUAUAUUUUAUCUUGUUUAAAAAAAAGGAAAAGAAAAAGAAAAGGAAAAAAUAAGCCAUGUGUGCAAAACGACAAAGGAGAACGGUUUUUGGUUUAGAGGAGACAAAGUGGUUUGGGGGGAACAUGGCAGAGCAGAGAGCAAGAGAGCAAAUCGUUACUGAAAAAGUGGCAGGCGGAGGUGGCCAAAAGAGAGCAACGAUAACAGAGAGGGGGGAGAGCCCAUAGUAGCAAGGUUGGCAUUUCUCAUCCUUUUUUACAAAAAGAAUACGAGGCAGAAAGAGGUUCUUGGCGGCAUCAAGCACAAGAGGCGUGAGAGUAAUACUUGGUUGGAACCACGCCGAGGGAGGAGAAGGAGACCCAUCGGACAAGCAAGGUUGGCAUUGGCAAUCGAGUCUUCAAGAGGUAAGUAAUGGCUCCUUGUACUCUAUGUUCUUGCCCUUGAAUAUCUUACUGUUGCAUUGCCGCUAUUGCUUGCUGUGACUGUUACAGAGAUUUUUAUCGAUUAUGUUGUGUAUGUGUAUGAUCUUGUGACUUGAAUCCUUCCUUUUAUCGUUGUCCUUGGUAUCCUCUGUUUCUUCUUCGCCGCCUAUCCAAUGGGGUCAACAACUGAGCAAAAAAAACUAACCCAACCUCUUCGAGUCAUUCACCGACCCCAUCACCAUUUUCAUCACACUCCUUUUAACUACCGCGUAGCUAUCACUCUUCACACUAAUGGCCAAUCCACCAUUGUCGUGUGACCUCCAACCAAAACAAAGCCAAGAUUCAAAGCCAAAAAACAUUACGUGAUCACAACCAGAGACUAAAAUGUAAUUUCCUCUUUCAGUUUCUCAAAUCAGAAUCAGUUUUGUAGAAUUUUCUUCCACAGAUAGUUUUCCCAAACUUUGAUUCAUCUCAUCUGCAAAGAAAGGAUAACCCAGUUUCCCUGAGUUGUUCACGGUGCCUCUUCAUCGCAUUUCUCUUGGCCACAACGUCAUCACCAUUCUAUUCUCUUCCAGACCUAUACGUAUAACCCCUAACCCAGGGGAUACCACCACGGCUUCAUCCACCAUCACCUUCAAACCAUUCCAUUCACUCAUUAAAAUCUCCACUCCUUGAACUUUUCCUUAACGCCAUCACCCUCAAUCAGCAUUACACAAAGUCACAAAAAUAAAACCAAUAAAAAAAAUAAGAAGCAGAACCAGCCAAAUCAGAUUCAACCCCAAAUCCCCAUCAUUCCCAUUCGAACCCAUUCAGAAACAAAACAGUAGAAGUGGCUGGCUUGGCUUUGCCGGCGGUGAGGAACCACCAUAGGAAAUAGGCUUUCACAUCCACUUUUUUCCUAACUUGCAACAACGGAACCCCCAAUCGGAUCUCAUCUAUGGUGACUGUCAACUAGGGAAGAGGAAGAUCACUCAAUCUUGGUUUCCUAAAUCUCUUAUGUGUGAGGGUCGCGGUGAGGGAGUUUUGGUUGAGGGAGAUUUUCGGUUCAUGGCUGGCGCUGCUGUCACCGGUGGUGGCCUCGUGGAGCGAUCGCGGGCGUUUUGAGAGCGGCGGUGGUUCGCGACGGUGGCUGGCCGAAGGGGAGCGACAGCUUGUGUCGUCCAAGGCUAAAAAACCCCAGCCCUAGGCUGGGCUGAGAGACGUGCGAUGAUGGUGUUCACGUCGGAUGUCGCUGCAGCGCGGAGGCUUUGACGUUUUGGAAGGUGGUCGCCGGCGACACUUUCUACGGCGGAGCAGUGACCGGUUAGGGCAGAGGAUGGCGGCGCCUCCGCCUGGGGAAGGAGAGCUCGAGGGUGUUGGGAGGGACUCUCUGUCUCAGAUGUGAGUGUGUGAAAAAAUGAAAUGAGGAAAGUUGGAACCCCUACAAGGUUUCUGACCUAGGACCUUGGGCCGGCCUGGGCUGAAAAAUGGUUUUGCUUCUGCACCCCCAUGGCUACUAAUUGGCGCCACUGCAUAAUGGGUUUGAGCUCAUUCGUUCUCUGCACCCCCUUUGCUUCCAUCCGCAACCCCCAUCUCUUGGGGCUUAAGCCCAUUCGGCCAAACAAAAAGUUCUCCCUUGCACAACCCCUUGUUCAUAUUUACACCCCCUUUUCCAUUUGGGCUUAGGCCCAAUCCGUCUUUAGAAGUGAGUUAGGUUUAUGUUACCCUUCUUUUCUAUUUUUACCACCCUCUUCCAUUUGGGCUUUGGCCCAAUUUGAUUAUUUUGUUUUACUUGUCAUUUUGUCCCUUUAGUUUAUUUUAUCAUUAUUUUUAUUCUUUUCUUUAAUUUUUUACCCUUUGUUUUUAUUUAUUAAUUUACUUGCUUAUUUCAUUUUUAUCUUUACUUUCAUUUUAUUUAGUUAUUUCCUAGUUAUUUCUAUUUUUCUACUUAUUUGUUUAUUUAUUUAUCUCGUUUUAUCUACUUUGAAAUAAAAAAAAACAAAAAUAUUUUAAAAGGUUUAAGCACACGUGCGGCCAUUCGCGUCAGCCUUGUGUUAAAACCUUUUCCUCCUUCUUAAAAAAAAAAAACAAAAAUAUUUUAAAAGGUUUAAGCACACGUGCGACCAUUCGCGUCAGCCUUGUGUUAAAACCUUUUCCUCCUUCUUUCAAAAAAUACAAAAAUAUUUUAAAAGGUUUAAGCACACGUGCGACCAUUCGCGUCAGCCUUGUGUUAAAACCUUUUCCUCCUUCUUUCAAAAAAUACAAAAAUAUUUUAAAAGGUUUAAGCACANGUGCGACCAUUCGCGUCAGCCUUGUGNUAAAACCUUUUCCUCCUUCUUUCAAAAANNACAAAAAUAUUUUAAAAGGUUUAAGCACACGUGCGACCAUCCGCGUCAGCCUUGUGUCGAAAACCUUUUUCUUCUUCUUUCAAAAAAAAUCAACAAAAAAUAUAAAACAUCGUGUUUUCAAACAAUCACCACCCGAUCUAAAGAACUACGUAACCCUGAUUUCUCAGUCCAACUGAGAAUACAUAGGAGCAAGGUCAAUCCUUGUCGGGCACAAAAAACACAAAAAAUAUUUUGUUUUCUUUAGAGUUUUAUUUUUUUAGGAGAAAUUAAACAUUUUGCAAACCACAUCAAAUUCGCGUAUUUAGUUAAAGGUACUGCCUUAGGGCAGGCGUUGUGGGGGUGCUAACACCUUCCCNACACGUAACCGACUCCCGAACCCAAUCUUUGGUUUUCGUGGACCUUGCUUUAUCAUUUUAUGGUUUUUCCGUAGUUUUCCAGAGUAAACUAUGGUGGCGACUCCAAAAACUUUUCAAAUGUUUUCUUUUUUGGAUCGUCGUCAUCCCGUCGCGAUUUUUUCCGGUUGCGACAGAUGGCGAACAUGCAAUACAACAACAUGUGUACUGUUAUUAAGCAUUAUGUUGUCAUCAUCAAAAACUAGAUUGAUAUAGAGUUUGUGUUGUCAACCAUCUCAACGGAAAGAACAAACACCACUUAGUUAUUUUCUGAAUAAUAUGCAAAUUAAAAAGAUAUAAAUGUGUUUGAUUUCUAAAAUUUAGGUUAACAUUGUUUUAUCUCCUAAAUUUAAAAUAAAUGGUUAAAGAAAGUAUCUGAAAUUUUAAAAAUUUGUUUUAAUAUCUUUAAUCUUAAACUCCUAUUAUGCAAAUAUUAGCAAAAAUGAAUAUUUUAAAAAGUAAACAUAUAAGCUGUUUGAUGAAAAAAAAAAUUAAAAUAGAAAAGUCUACAAGAAAGUAUGGGUAAUAAAACAUUAUAUAAUUACAGAUCAAGUAUCAACCUGAAAAUUCUUUCAUUUCAUAAAUUAAUAUGAGAAGAUAAGUACAUUUCAAGGUGACCUUUUCCCCAAAAUUAAUAAGAGACUACAAAAGGAGUUACAUAACACAAAAUAUUGGAUACCUAGGUAUGACAUUUAGUCUUUUACUUAUGAAUUGUUAGUUUUGAUGCAUUUAGUGUAUACUUACCAAUUGUUUAUGACUUUGUAGUUGGUCGGGACUUCAAAUAUUUAAGGUCAGACACACCUCCAACAUUGCUGAAAAGUUUGUGGUUGACAUGGAUAAAAGAAAGUGUAGCUGCAGAAAAUGGACUUUAAUGGCAAUCUCUUGUUGUCAUGCACUAACAACCCUGAGAUUUUUAAACAUCAAUGGAGAAGACUACAUCAUACAUUGGUUUAGAAGGUCAACCUAUGAAGAAACUUGCAUUCCAAUCACAUUCCCUGUCAACGGACCUCAUUUGUGGCAAAGGACUUCAAAUCCUGAUAUUUUGCCUCGAACUAAAAGGGUUUUGCCAGGUAGACCAAAAAAGAAAAGAAGACUAGAGCCUUGGGAGCAAAAGAAGGAUGAUACACAACUUAGAAAAAACGGAACCCAUAAGAGAUUUGGGAUAUGCAGACAACUUGGGCAUAUAAGAACUAAUUGCCCACAACCAAGUCAAACACAAGAGCAGGAACCUACACCAAACCCAACUCAAUCAAGUCAGAUUACUGAAACCCAGCUUGAAGAACCCCAAAGUCAGUCAACUACAACAAUACUUUAGAAGUCAUAAAAACUUAUUAAUGUCCACAUUCGUGGUUAUUUUGGAAGCCAUCUAAAUACAAACUUUAAUAUGUAUUUUGCACUUUGAAUAUUGUUUUGUGUUCUCUGUUGUUAAUGUCCAUAUUGAUGGUUAUCAUAUUGUUUUGGGUUUCUGUUGAAGAACAACCUUGACUUCAAUAUUAUUGGAAAAACAAUUUAUGAUUUUAAUGUAUUGAGAUCAAUAUUAAUGUAACGACAAUUUCUGAGAUUAUGAAUCAUUUCAAUGUCAUUUAUAGCCCAAUACGAGUUCAUCAAUAUCACUAACAUUGUAUAUUGACACCAUAAUUUCCAAAUUUUUCAUUCAUUUAAUAACAAACAAAGAUUACAAUAUACCCAAGUUCUUCACUUCCAAAAUGUCACUAAUACAACACUUCAUGGAAUUUUAAACAUAACACCAACAAGGAUGAUGUUAAUUAACCCCAUCAAACCUAGCAUCCAUAUUAACACCUUUUUUCCUUCUGACCAACCAAAACUGAUUUUUCCAGAUUAAUAAUCUUUCUCCUUUGUCAUGCAAUUAUACUAUCCUUUCAUCUACAUUAUCUUCAUUGCGCCAUUUAAAAAAAGAAAUUACAUCCUCACAAUUCUUCAUUUCAACUCCACUAUUGAAAAUGUGCAACCAUAAACAUUUCAUUAAGCAUCAAAAAAAUGUAUCUAGAUUAAAAACUAAAACAACUUAACAAACCUUGAAAUUAGGGCACCCCCAAAUUGUCUCUCCCUCGUUCUUCACAGUUUUUGUCACUCUCAAUACAACAACCUCUCCAUAAUAACAUAUGUGGGUGCCAACCAAACCUCUGGUUGAAGCACCACGACAACUCCCCUAUGAGCAAAUCGAACACUGAUUCAACGCAUUGCCAAGCGUAAGGACAAAAAUCCACUUCAUCCACUGGAAAAAGCAACCCGACUCCAAACCGCAAUAAUGAAUAAUACCCCAAAUAAAAACAAAGAAACCUAACCAUAGAAGAGAAGAACAACACUCCUAAAGAUAGAAGAAGACACUGUAUUAGAAAGAAGAAGAAGACUUCGAUUACCUCACCUACCUAGAAUCCUUCAUUAAAGAGCUCAACUUAGGACAAAAAUCGUAUAACAUUUUUUUUUCUAAUCAAACCAUAUUUUCAUACAUGACAUCCUUUAAAAUUUCCUUUUGCCAUGUCAGUUCAAUCUUUUGCCACAUCACCGAUCAUUUAACUCUAUUUUUACUAAUUUAAUAGAGGGAAUUUAAUUGAUGUAAUUAUACAAUAUUGUAACUCAAUAAAAAAAAUUAAACACAAAUACCAACGAGAUACUAAAUACCGAAUUUGGAAACCAAGGAAUUAAGCCUUAAUUUAAUUCAUUUUAUAUAUAGUCAAGAAUGAGCAAAACUAAAUUUUUUAGGAACUUGUAACUUUUAUAGGUUGAGACUCGAAUUAUUUAUAUUUUGAUGAUGUCUAAAUUUAAACUUCACUUAAGAAAGUUGUAUAUUUAAACAUGGGUGUAAUCGAGUUUGUUAGUUUAGAACAGGAGACACAGUGUUGAACCCAAAACCCAAGACCCAAGGUUGAAACUUUGCUACACGCAGAGGGAGUGCAAGAGAAUGAUGAAUGUUAGGAUGAAGAGAGAACUGACAAGCUUAAUAAAGACUCCAAUAGAGAGACGGUGGUGUAAUGGAUUGCGCUGUUUCAGCUCUGUUUCUUCGAAUUGGAAGGGCGUCAUCCCCACUCUUCUUCAGCCCAGAGUUCUGCUGUACGACGCCGUUUCCCUCUUCUGCCACCGAGGUAUUCAUUCUUCACAGUCAUUACUCUCUAUUCACUUCAUGGGGUUUCGUGUUUCGUGUGAUCCAACUCGUGGGGUGUGUUUUUGCUCGUUAGCUGCCUUGGUUAGAAUAAAAAUCCCGCCUUUCGUAUUGGGGAUACUCUUAGAACACGAAAAUUUGGGAAAGAUUAAUAUAUCUAACGUUCAAGAAAAUUAACUAAGCAUUCUGCUAGGUUGGUCUACGUUUUGAAUUGAUUAUAGGGUCUCGAUUUCCUUGUGAUUCUCGAAGUUGAAGGAAAUUGUAUGCAGACAAAUGCAUUUGAUGUGACCGCAAUUGAAGUUUCGGAGGAUCCCAAAAUCUUGACAUUGCAGUAUAAAUCACGUCCAAGAUUUCUGUCGCUGACUGUUCUUUAAAAAAUUGAGCACAUGCCACAAAUAUUCCAAUUCUUUUUGGAAUUUCAUCGCGUUCCUGUGAGUUUAUUUUUUUGUCUCAGUGUGAGGUGGAUUUUUGUUUGUAUGUUUUAUGGUUUUUAUUAGUCUGGAGUUUUCAGUUCUUUGCUUCUUUAUUGAAUGCUAAAUGGUCUCUCUUGUAUCUUGUGUGUAAUGAUUUAGUUUAAUUUAUUCAGAUUCCUUGCGCUCAAAUAGAGACAAAUUGGUAGGAGUAUUCUUAGCUCAGGCGUUGAAUUGAAGAAUGCAGUUUACUUUAAUUGGUAUCAGACAUAAUCCAUGAUAGAGGACAAUUUGAAUAUCCCAUGUAAUAGGGAUUGAAGAUGAUAAGACGAUGUCGGAGCCAUUGCUGACCCUUGUUUGUUCAUCCUUUGAACAUUUGCAUUGUUUUAUUAGGAUCUGAUAAUCAAUUCCAACUUAUCGGUGAGUUUUCAACUAAGCUAUUUCACUUUAUGGGGACAUUGUCUUGAAAAGACUAGGGAAUAGUUGUUGGAAAGUCUCUUUAAUUGCUAUCACCCCUAGCCCUGUCUUAGUUGUGGCCUCUUUGAGAGUUGCCUUUGUUGCAACUUCAAGGGUGAUGGUUUAGCCUCACAUCAACUCGUAACAUGACUAAAGUAGAAUAUAUAAAUGCAGUGCAGAGCUCAAGUUAGAAGUGAAAUUUGUGGAGUUGAGUUAGGUGUAAACCUAAUUUCCAAGAAUACUUUAUUGAGGUUAUUUUUAGCUGUAGGAAAGAAACUAUCUCUAUAAGAUAGACUUGGUGAAACUAAAGGUUAUAAAAUUAGUAAUUGGCAUUUUGGUUGAUGUUUUUAAAAUCUCAUAGCUGUGAUAAUUCUGUGUUGACAGGAGUAAAAUGGGUAAUCAGAGCAGAUAAGUACAAACGGAUCAAAUUCUGCUGUGUUCAGUCUGAUGCCGCUGAGCCCUAUUUGAGAGCUUGCGGUCUUGACCGAGAGGAUGUCAUACGUCGAAUGUUGUUUGUUGAAGGCCUGAAUGAAUAUUCUCAGGGAUCCACUGGUUAGAAUGCUCUCACUUAUUUAGUUAACUUCAAUGGUUUUUCACAUUCUUUAGCCUAUCUAUGUUACUACAUUACUGUAGUUUUGGCGAACAUCUGUGCAUAUAAAGUUUUAGCAUUAGUCCACAUCUGUAGUAACAUUGUAAGGACCAAUAUAAGAUCUGCUUUGUAUCUUAUGUUUUUAGGUCUUUUCACACGGAUACUAAAUAUUACUAAUUCAAGUUAGCAUUGAUAAGUUUCGUACUUUAUUGAAUUGAUAAGUCCAUAUUCUGUUGUAUGAUGAAUGUCACUCUCAAUCUGAAUUAAGAAUGACGUUGCCAAAAGCAUCUGAAUCUGGAUCAUGUUUAGAGCAAAUUCUGGAAUAAAUAUUUAGACUAAUACUUCACCACAGUGCUAUUUCUGUGUGAUUUUGUGUUUUGUGUCAAUCUCAUUGAUUUAUGAUGUGCAGCUGCAUUGCGAGUUCUGUCAUACUUACCGCGACCUUACUCUGCAUUAAGCUCACUCUGGGUGAUUCCUACUCCUCUCAGGGAUGCUGUCUAUGAUUAUGCAGCAAAACAAAGAUAUGAAUGGUUAGGUAGGGCUCAAGAUUAUUUGGUUUUGCGAGAGAAAGAUCUGCUUGAGCGUUUCAUUGAUAGGGAAGAACUGAUGAGACGAGCUCAGGAUUUGGAGUUUUAGCCACAGUUUACACUUACAACUUUUUUCUUCUGUUAUCAGCCACAAUUUACACUUACAACUUACAACUUUUUUCUUUUGUUAUCUUGUACAAUGGUAGAUUGUAAAUUUGAAUUGCUUUAUGUUCAGAUUACACGUGGGAUUUAGAUUAAAUGUCAUUUGUCAUGAGACCAUCCUCCCUUUCCACAAGCGCAAUGCUCUAACUCUUAACACCACCCCAUCCUUUCCUACAAAGGGUUUCUUCCCACACCACCAAACUUUCUCUUAAUGUCUAAACUAUCCUUCUUACAUGGGUCAAUUUUUUUUCUCUCCUAUGAUUACUCCACCCACCUACCACUCACUUUUUUAAAUUUAAAAUCCAAUUUAAGAAUUCAUUGAAUUUUAAAAUCUUAUGGUUUAGUUUAGGAAUUCAUCAUAUUUUAAAAUCCGGUUUAUAAACACAUCGAUUUCGAUUUUGAAACUAACUAGAUUUCAAAAUUCGAUUGAGAAACUUAUUCAAUUAAAGAAUUCCCAAGAUUUUGAUAUUAAUCAGAUUUUAAAAUUCAGUUAAGAAAUUAAUUUAUUAGAUCUCAAAAUAUGAUUAAGGAACUUAUUAAAUUUUAAAAUUCGUUAAAAGUUUUCAUAUUUUGAAAUUUGAUAGACAUUUUUCUCUCAUUUCGAAAUUUAAUAAACACUUCUCUUGGAUUUUAAAAUUCAUUUUUUUCGGAUUUCGAAUGAACAUUUAAUAUAGAUUUCAAAAUCUUAUUUUCAUACCUCUCUUCAAUUGAAAACAUAAGCGUUGUGUUACGGUUUAAUAUCUAUUCAUUCCCUCUUCAUAGGUAAUGUUUAAUAUAAAUUGAAAUAAAUAAUUUUAUUGUCUUUGGUCAUGUUGUGUUACUGUUUAAUAUUUAUUCGUUCCCUCUUCGUAAGUAGUGUUUAAUAUAAAUUGAAAUAAAUAAUUUUAUUGUUUUCGGGUAUGCUAAUGUGUUGAUCGGUUUGUUCUUUAUUGUUUUUAUGGUCAUCUCGGCCACUUUGUUUCUUCGGCCACCUUGACCAACCUCAAUCUUGAGUAUUUUAAGUUUAUUCCUUUCCAUCAUGUCAUGCUUGAAGUGUUUGAUAAAGUGAUUGAUAGUUCUUCUUUCUGUGUGUCUCAAACUAUCCGAUAAACUAGAGAGUUGACAAGUCCUUAGACUUCUAAAUGGCGGAAACUAUGCUUUCGAAAUUAUUUGUUAAUGAUUUUAGGAUUUUCUCCAUAACCCAUUUGGCUGGCAACUGUUUUCCAUUCCUCUCUAUCUCCAUUCCUGCCGAGUUGAUUUACCACUUUCUCACAUUUUUUAUCUUCCAUUUUCCAAGUUUUCAAACUCUUCUAUGAGAGUUUAAAGUCAGACUUGUAUUUGUGUUUGGUGGGGUUUAUUAUUGCCGUUAGUUUAUUUUGUUUUAAUUUCAUUGAACUCCUUUAUUUUUCUACAAAUGUUUCUUUUUUUUCAUUUGAAAUAAUUUUUUUAAUUGUUGUGAUUAAUAUAUUCUUAUUAAGUUUUACAUUGGUAUUAUUGAAGAAGAAGUGAACUGCAUUAAAGUUAUAACAAAAUAAGUAAAAAUAAGUGCUUGAAAUUACCUUCUAGAAUUGUAAACGUAUAAAACAAAUAUGUUAAAAACUAUUAACACAAAAGUUGCUUUCAGGUAUGUAUUCAAAAGUGAUUUUUGUUAACACUAAAAGAAGUUAUUUCAUGCAUUGAACAACAAAGGCAACACAUAAAUGCACCUUGGUAAUUAAAUCAAGGUGAAAUUCUAUAACUUGUUAUAAAGAACUAAAGAGAGAAAAAUAUAUGUAAUGAAGAUGAGGUGUACAAUUUUAGAUAAUAAUAAAAAGUAGAGAGCAAAACUGAAAUUCAAUCAAUAAUAAGAUUUGUUUCUUAUUUGUAUAAUCUAAUAAAUUUAUAAGUUCAUAGAUUUUUUUGAAAAUCAAAAUCAUUGUAUUUGUAAUUAUUAACAUUGUGUAGUUAUGCUAAAAUCAUGUCAGUGAAAAAAUGUUUUUCAAAUGAGACACUUUGCUAUCGUAUUAACAUUUAACAAUUUCAACAAUACAAACAUAAAAUUAAAUCAUCCAAAUAUUAUAAAAAUAAAAAUAAAUUACAGAAAAUACAAUCAUUAAUAUAACAAUACUCAGAAAAUGACAAUGGACUCUAAUCACAUUAAGUAUAAACCUGCAAUAGCAAAAUCAUUCAAAAACAGAGGUAAAAUCUAUUCAAACAAAUUUUGAAUGACUAAAGAAAGCUAGAAAUCAACUUAAAACUUACAAUUUUCAAGAAACUGAAAAUUUCACUACUCAAAACCUAUCAAAACACUCUAAUACUAGGCUAAACAAGCUAAAAGUAAAAACUGAACUAAAACAGAAAGAAACUUGUAAAGAAACUUUUUAAACUAAAGAUUCUAAAAGAACACUUGAGAAGUCACUAAUUCUAAAAGAUUCUAAAACUCACUAAUGAAAGCCUAAAAAGUACACUAAAACUUGUAUAGAAAUGAUAUGUGGAACUGUUAAGAGACUUUCUAAACAACUUUUAAAUUGUAAAAGAAAAGUAAAAACAAGUCAAAGUACAGAAACAGCAAGAAAGGCAAAACCUGACUAUUAAGCAAAGCACCUAUAAUCGCACUUAAAAACAUGAACCAAGGCUAGCACUAUGCUACAAUGACUCAAAAAAUUUAUUCCUAAGCUAUCUAAACAGAACACUCACCCUCUAAACAAAUACAACAAAUGCAUACUAAACCAAGUAAAAACUGAAACUGCACUAAGUAGCUAAUAAAACUGGAAUGUAAGUAUCUAGACAAGUUUAAAAUGCUAAAAGACUAAAAAAAAACUAAACUAACUACUCAAAUUGACUUGGAAAUCAAAAUCUGUCUAUAGGAACCUAUGAAUACACUAUUUGACAGCAAAUUUAAACAUAAGAGCAAGCUAAUCUAAUACAGUAGCUAAAAUUCAUCUAACCUAUUCCCUACAAGUUUAAAAUACUAAAAGAAGAUUAGAAUUAAAGCUAUUUAUCAAAAAUUAUGCAGAAUUAAAAAUACAGCUUAUUCACUAAAAUCUGUCUACUCUAUUAUCCUCUCAUGAAUUAAAACUACUGAAUUGUCAUUUUCGAAAUUAAACUGCCCCUACCACAUAAGUCCAAAAAUUAAGUUCUUGCACUCAAAUUAAAGAUAAUUGAGUCAAGAAUCUAAUGCAAAUAGAAUCAACUCAAUUGGAUCACUGUGGAGAAAGCUAUGGACCAGACAUGCAGAAGAGGUCAAAGCUGUCAGCAUUUAGUUUUACACUAAAAACCUAUCUAAAAAAACUAUCAAAACAGAGAAUUCACGAUCUAAGCAAGUUCUAAAUGAUAACAGAACACUAGAAACUAGUCUAACUAAUACAAACAAAAAAAACUACAAAAAUUCACUAUAAAAACCUAAGAAAAGUAUACUACACUAGCCUAAAUAAAAUUGUACUAAACCAGUAACUAAUAUUGCAAUGCAGAAGUCUAAACAAAUUUCAAAUGGCAAAAAAAAGCUAACAAUCAAUUAAAAAACUACAUAUCUACAAAGACUCAAAAACUCACUAUUGAGAACCUAAAAAAUAUGCUAAACCUAAACUCAAAUCUGAAAAAUGCACUAUAAUAGUAAAGAGAAAUGUUUUGCUCCAUAGAGGAUUCCUGGUCCUACUGAAAUGUUAGAAAAUAGAAAAUUCUUAUUAUUUAACCUUACAUUAAGAGAUUAGUUGGAAAAUUGCUAAAACACCAGAAACACUGAAGAUGGGAAACUACAACAACUACUGUUUUUCAUAAUUACAAGUUCACAACCACCUCCGGACAUAAGAUCAAGUCAAAUCUAAGAUCCACUUAAUUUUGGAUAGAUUUUCUUCUUUUGGCCUUGUUUGAAAGUUUAGAUCUAUAUUUUUCUUUUGAAUUUGAUAGAAAUAUUUUAUUUGGAUGAUGAAGAAUGAUCAGUAUCAAGAACAGACUUGAAUUCCCUCUAAGUUGUUAAAACCAAACAAUAACUAAUUCAUGAGCCAAACCUUGUUAUAUUAAACUAUGAGGUCCAAUAAUAAUAUAUGAACACUGCAAUUACAUUUGACAAACCUUAUUAUAUUAAACUUCAUUCUGAACUUAAAUGAAAGGAAGAAGUGUUGAAAUCUUGGAACAUGCCUGUGGGAAGCUUCAAUUCUUGGCUCUCAAAGUGACCAGAGUUCUGAUUAAAUGAAACAAUACAUAUAUCUCAGUUUUUGAAAAUCUGAAAUUUGCAUAUAUUUCCUCUCCCUUUUAAUGUCAUCAAUUAAAAUCAUUACUCUUAAACAAAAAACGAAAUAAUUUCAAAUCUUAUAUUCUUGUAUUAUCUCAUUUUACUCGUAAUUAGACUUGUGCUUAAAUUCCUAACAUUUUCUUCAAAGUGAAAUCUGCAAUAUUUUUGUCUUUUUCUUUCAAUAGAUUUGUGGUUCUGUGGAUAGACUGUUAAAUCCUCAGAACUAGAUGCAUCAGUAUAACUAGUAAAAAAAUCUGCAAUUUUUCUUUUUGUCUUGUUUUCUCCAGACGAUGUUGGAAACUACUUCACUGAAUGAACUAUUUCUUAUGAUAACUUUGUAAGAAUUAUAGACAUUCAUUUGAAAGAAGUUCAUAAACCGAGUGCCAAUAAUAUAUUAACACAAAUUUGAGUAUUAUUGAACAUGUUGAAAAUAUGGGUAUUACUAAAUCUCAUGUUUGAUAAUUGAUACUAAAUUAAUUUAUAAUAUAUUUUUAAUCAUAUUUUAAAUCCACAUGAUUCUUAAGGAACUAAAAAUAAUAAAUAAAUAAAGAUUAAAUAGUAAUUGAGUUUUCUAAAUUUUAUGUAUAAAAGAAGAGGGUAAAAUGUACUCAUGUUCAACGAAAUAAAAUGUGUACGUUGUGAUUCUUCAAUAACCACAUAACAUAGUUUAACAAUUAAGUUCCCACAAAGAGAGACUGUUGUUAACAAAUUGCUCAUCUAAACAAAAGUUCAAAAUAAAAUUAUUCAAAAUAAAAUUAAGCAAUUAAAUCCAAAUUAAGUUUCCAAUAUAUCUUUAGUGAGAUGGCAGAAAUACAAACAUAGGAGAUGUUUGGCUUAAAACAAAGGUGAUAAUGCUCGAGAAAAAUAGAAGCAAACUACAAACUGCUUUGAGUGGGAUGCACCAGGCCCUUGCAAGAGUGCAAAACAAAGGCGAUGCAUAAGAAACCAAGUAGCAAGCUACUUUGAUGGUUCUCUCCCUCAAAAAAUUAAUUUAAUAUCGUGUGAACUAAUAGUUCACAUAUCAGAUAUUAAACUGAUAAGAACAGAUACUACACUUGAUCUUAGCCAAAAGGCCGAGAAAGGUAUGCUUUGACAAGNAAAAGUGUUCAAUAUUUAUAUCUCAAUCUUCAUCUACUUGUCAGUGUUCUGACAAGUGUGGGACUUCGUAAAUGGAGUCAUAUGCUCCCAAAAUCACCACAUCAGUAACAGACUUUGAAAUCAGCAAUUGAGUUCAUGGCAUGUGAUAAAACUUGAAACUACUCGGUCAUUCCAAUUUUCUUUUUACUAGAUAUAACCAACCAUGUUACUUCUUCUCUAAUGGCACUGGUUCAUGUCUAAUUAAGGCUUAACUAAGUACUUAUAUAGCUGUCAAUGAAGCCAAGAAUCCAAUUGUUAUCUAUGUCUCUAAUUGUGAUGUUGCAAUCUCUAAUAAGUGAUGCGCAACCACGAGGAACUGUUUUCUUCAUUGUUAUUUAUUUGAACACUAAAUUAUUUUUGCCCAACAGAAAACAGGUCUAGACAUGUCUGCCUCUGUCAAAACCACUAAAUUCACCCAAUGGUUAUAAUAGGAAACCCAGAUAAUUAAUUCACCAAUGAUUGUGUACCCAGCUAGCUAAUUGGAGAAAUGUAAAUUGAAGAGCGGACAACAAUAUUCACCAAAAUAAGUAAUUGAACUGAUCUGAAUGGGAUGCGCCAAGCCCUUGCAAAAUUGCUAAACAAAGCUAUGCUUUAGAGAUAAGUAACAAGCUACUCUAACAUCCCUUUCACUCAGAAUUAAUUUAAUAUAACAGCAGAUCCGGUUGAAACACUUACAAAAAAAAUUAUGAGAUCUUCAACCUAAUAACACUUACAACAAAAAUUACGCACAACUAGGAAAGAAAUCUAGAAUAAUAGAGCCUUCAAAUAUUUCCUCAUUCUAGGCCUCCCAUAUUCACCAACAUGCCAAAACAAAAACCCUUUGCUAUCGGUAGUGCAAUGCCGCAACCAGUAUUAGCUGUUUUCUGCAUUACUAUUGACUUGAACAUUAAGCAAAUUGGAGGAUGGUUUCUUCACUCCUACCACCUGAAACAAACUAUGUUUGCCCAAGACUAGUAAAAUCCUUCUUCCGAUUCACCAAAUCACUCACUGUAAUAGGGAAUCCCAUAAAAAAAGCCUUUUUGUGGAUCAGCAGACAGUCACCAGCAAAACUGAAGAAAAAAUAAACAAACAUUUAGCUAGAGCAAAAACACAAACUAUAAGAAAUCUGACCAGAUAAUUGAACUAAUUUGGUGGGAUGCACCGGCACUUUGCAAAAGUGCAAAACAAAGACUAUGCAUAAGAAACCAAGUAGCAAGCUACUUUGAUGGUUCUCUCCCUCAAAAAAUUAAUUUAAUAUCGUGUGAACUAAUAGUCCACAUAUCAGAUAUUAAACUGGUAAGAACAGAUACUACACUUGAUCUUAGCCAAAAGGCCGAGAAAAGUAUGAAUUGAAAAUGUCAAGUGUUUAAAUUUUAUAUCUCAAGCUUCAACUGUUUCCUUAAAAAUUCCUUUAAAAAUUUAUUAAAAAAUCAAUACUUCCUCUUUAACAAAAAAAAAAAACAGAGAAAAAUAUGCCAUAAGUAGUUGAAGUGAUCAUUUUUUAUACCCCAAACUUCAUCUACCUGUCAGUGUUCUGACAAAUCUGUGACUUCAUAACUUGAGUAAUGCUCCCAACAUGAUUUCCUGUGAUGAACAGACUUUAAAAUUUAGAAAAGCAGUUGAGUUCAUGUCAUGUCUGAUGAAACUUGAAGCUAAUUACAGUCAUUCCAAAUAUAUUUUACUUGAUAUUGCCGACCAUGUUGAUCCUUCUCCAGUAGGAGUGGUUCAUGCCUGAUUAAGGUUUAACUAAGUAUUUCUUAUAUGAUACGUAUGCUAAGUGUUAAUGGAAAAAAUUCAGAUAUGUUAAACCUUGUCAAUGGAAAAAAGUUGCAGACUAUGUACAGCUUCAAGAAUGGGAACCUGAUUUGUAAUAGGAACCCAAAUAAAUACGAGAGUAACUUUAUCAAGCUCAUCAUUGAUCCCUUGUAGGAGAAAAACCAAGACCAGGACUAAUCUUACUUACAACCUGGGCCUUGCAAGUCUUGGCUGAUCAGAAGAGAAGGUAAUCAUCAUCAAAGAACAAUUGGAAAAUACAUAACUUUUGUUACAAACAAUCUUCAAAGGCAAAAUGUCCUCCUUGGUUUGGUGGAUGAGGAAGGAUAAUUUCAGCAUAAAACAAACAAAUAACUUAGGAAAAUCCAUUUGAUAAGGUAAUUAUGAAACUCUUUUACCUUAUGACAGUCCCAAAGAAACAACUAAUCCAUUAAGAAGAGGAUCCCAGCUUUCAUCUAUCCAAACUAUGCUACGAUAAUUGAAGUAGAAGCUAAAUUUCUUCUUUCUAACUCAUCCACUAAGACUUAAAGCAGAUGGAAGAGAAGUCAUGUACUGCAAACUGGGAUGCUUUCUCUAUUUCUUUCAAAAACAAUUUCCUUCCACUAGCGUUUUUAUGUGCUUGAAAAUUCUUUAUCCACAGAGAAGACAAACACCACCAAAAAACAAAUGAAAUAUACUUCAAUCAUAUUUAGCAAACCUCAGGCUUUAGAAAUUGUAUUCUACAAAAAUUAUAAGCAACAAACCAAUUAGAACAUUAAAAUAAAAAUCAUCAGAAAUAAGACUAAAUAAUUGAACGGUUAGGUAAGAUGCAUCAUAUGCCCUUGCAAGAGUAAAAAACAAGAAACCACAUAGCAUGUUGCUUUGAUGGUCCUCUCCCUAAUUUACAUCCUAAGCUUACGCUGUUUAUCAGUGCAGAGAGUAUAUGUUACGCCUAGUCAACGGAAAAAAGAGAUAUGCAGAUAUCUGUCAUCAUCACUGAUCCCUUUGUAAGCUGGGACUUAAAAUAAAAAUACAUAUUUUUUUAAUCUUCAAAGGCAAUUACAGUUAAAUUAUAUAUAUAUAUAUAUAUAUAUAUAUAUAAAAGCUAAGUGUUGAGAAUUCAGAAAACUACAGAUUAUAAGGCCUUGAGAAAAAGCUGCUCAUAUUCAGGUAACUCUCUUUACUAAAGAAAAAACUAAUGAAAAACAGGUAACUAAGACAUCGGGGAAAAUAACAUUGCAACUGACUUGAGUGGGAUGCACCAGCACUUUGAAGAAGUGCAAAUCAAAGGCGAUGCAUGAGAAACAAGUAGCAAGCUACUUUGAUGGUUCUCUCCCUCAAAAUAUUAAUUUAAUAUCGUGUGAACUAAUAGUUCACAUAUCAGAUAUUAAACUGAUAAGAACAGAUACUACACUUGAUCUUAGCCAAAAGGCCGAGAA
rnacentral:lncRNA from 1 species